rnacentral:rRNA from 1 species
UGGCCGCAGUAUUUUGACUGUGCAAAGGUAGCAUAAUCAUUAGUCUUUUAAUUGAAGGCUUGUAUGAAUGGUUGGACGAGGUAUUAACUGUUUCAUAUAAAUUUAUAAUAAAAUUUUAUAUUUUAGUAAAAAAGCUAAAAUUUAAUUAAAAGACGAGAAGACCCUAUAAAUCUUUAUAUUUAAAUUUUAAUUUAAUUUUUUAAAUUAGUUUAAUUAAAUUUAAUUUAAUUAUUUUAUUGGGGUGAUAUUAAAAUUUAUAAAACUUUUAAUUUUAAAUAUACAUUAAUUUAUGAUUUGUUGAUCUAUUAUUAAUGAUUAAAAGAAUAAGUUACUUUAGGGAUAACAGCGUAAUUUUUUUGGAGAGUUCUUAUUAAUAAAAAAGUUUGCGACCUCGAUGUUGGAUUAAGAAAUAAAUUUAGGUGUAGAAGCUUAAAAAUUAAGUCUGUUCGACUUUUAAAUUCUUACAUGAUCUGAGUUCAAACCGGCGUAAGCCAGGUUGGUUUCUAUCUUUAAUUUUUUAUAAUAUUUUAGUACGAAAGGACCAAAUAUUAAAUUUAUAAAAAUUUAAUUUUUGAAAAUAAUUAAAUU